UCGGGAAUUUUGGGCAAUGGGCGAAAGCCUGACCCAGCAACGCCGCGUGAGUGAUGAAGGCCUUCGGGUUGUAAAGCUCUGUCGUGAGGGAAAAAUAAAUUGAUGGUACUUCACAAGAAAGGACCGGCUAACUUCGUGCCAGCAGCCGCGGUAAGACGAGGGGUCCUAGCGUUGUUCGGAAUCAUUGGGCGUAAAGCGCGUGUAGGCGGCUUGUUAAGUUGGUUGUGAAAACCCAUGGCUCAACCAUGGAAGUGCGUCCAAAACUGGCAAGCUAGAGUUCUGACGAGGAUGGCGGAAUUCCCAGUGUAGAGGUGAAAUUCGUAGAUAUUGGGAGGAACACCGGUGGCGAAGGCGGCCAUCUGGGAAGAUACUGACGCUGAGACGCGAAAGCGUGGGGAGCAAACAGGAUUAGAUACCCCUGUAGUCCCUGAGCGGGCUGGCAAGGCGCAU
rnacentral:rRNA from 1 species